rnacentral:rRNA from 1 species
GAGUGGCGGACGGGUGAGUAACGCGUGGGUAACCUGCCCUGUACAGGGGGAUAACAAUCAGAAAUGACUGCUAAUACCGCAUAAGACCACAGCACCGCAUGGUGCAGGGGUAAAAACUCCGGUGGUACAGGAUGGACCCGCGUCUGAUUAGCUGGUUGGUGAGGUAACGGCUCACCAAGGCGACGAUCAGUAGCCGGCUUGAGAGAGUGAACGGCCACAUUGGGACUGAGACACGGCCCAAACUCCUACGGGAGGCAGCAGUGGGGAAUAUUGCACAAUGGGGGAAACCCUGAUGCAGCGACGCCGCGUGGAGGAAGAAGGUCUUCGGAUUGUAAACUCCUGUUGUUGGGGAAGAUAAUGACGGUACCCAACAAGGAAGUGACGGCUAACUACGUGCCAGCAGCCGCGGUAAAACGUAGGUCACAAGCGUUGUCCGGAAUUACUGGGUGUAAAGGGAGCGCAGGCGGGAAGACAAGUUGGAAGUGAAAUCUAUGGGCUCAACCCAUAAACUGCUUUCAAAACUGUUUUUCUUGAGUAGUGCAGAGGUAGGCGGAAUUCCCGGUGUAGCGGUGGAAUGCGUAGAUAUCGGGAGGAACACCAGUGGCGAAGGCGGCCUACUGGGCACCAACUGACGCUGAGGCUCGAAAGUGUGGGUAGCAAACAGGAUUAGAUACCCUGGUAGUCCACACCGUAAACGAUGAUUACUAGGUGUUGGAGGAUUGACCCCUUCAGUGCCGCAGUUAACACAAUAAGUAAUCCACCUGGGGAGUACGACCGCAAGGUUGAAACUCAAAGGAAUCGACGGGGGCCCGCACAAGCAGUGGAGUAUGUGGUUUAAUUCGACGCAACGCGAAGAACCUUACCAAGUCUUGACAUCCCUUGACAGACAUAGAAAUAUGUAAUCUCUUCGGAGCAAGGAGACAGGUGGUGCAUGGUUGUCGUCAGCUCGUGUCGUGAGAUGUUGGGUUAAGUCCCGCAACGAGCGCAACCCUUAUGGUCAGUUACUACGCAAGAGGACUCUGGCCAGACUGCCGUUGACAAAACGGAGGAAGGUGGGGAUGACGUCAAAUCAUCAUGCCCUUUAUGACUUGGGCUACACACGUACUACAAUGGCGUUAAACAAAGAGAAGCAAGACCGCGAGGUGGAGCAAAACUCAGAAACAACGUCCCAGUUCGGACUGCAGGCUGCAACUCGCCUGCACGAAGUCGGAAUUGCUAGUAAUCGUGGAUCAGCAUGCCACGGUGAAUACGAUCCCGGGCCUUGCACACACCGCCCGUCA